rnacentral:rRNA from 1 species
UACAGAGGUCCCAAGCGUUGUUCGGAUUCACUGGGCGUAAAGGGUGCGUAGGUGGCUUUGUAAGUCAGUGGUGAAAUCUUAGAGCUUAACUCUAAAACUGCCAUUGAUACUGCUUAGCUUGAAUCACGUCGAGGUGGAUGGAAUAUUACAUGUAGCGGUGAAAUGCUUAGAUAUGUAAUAGAACACCGAUUGCGAAGGCAGUUCACUAGGCGUGUAUUGACACUGAGGCUCGAAAGCGUGGGGAGCAAACAGG